UCCCCUGUGGCGCAACGGUAGCGCAAGCGACUGUUAAUCGCAAGGUUGGAGGUUCGAAUCCUCCCGGGGGAGCCA
rnacentral:tRNA from 1 species